rnacentral:rRNA from 1 species
UACGUAGGGUGCAAGCGUUAAUCGGAAUUACUGGGCGUAAAGCGUGCGCAGGCGGUUUUGUAAGUCUGACGUGAAAUCCCCCGGGCUCAACCUGGGAAUUGCGUUGGAGACUGCAAGGCUAGAAUCUGGCAGAGGGGGGGUAGAAUUCCACGUGUAGCAGUGAAAUGCGUAGAUAUGUGGAGGAACACCGAUGGCGAAGGCAGCCCCCCUGGGUCAAGAUUGACGCUCAUGCACGAAAGCGUGGGGAGCAAACAGG